rnacentral:rRNA from 1 species
UAGGGAAUCUUCCACAAUGGACGCAAGUCUGAUGGAGCAACGCCGCGUGAGUGAAGAAGGGUUUCGGCUCGUAAAGCUCUGUUGUUAAAGAAGAACAUAUCUGAGAGUAACUGUUCAGGUAUUGACGGUAUUUAACCAGAAAGUCCACGGCUAACUACGUACCAG